rnacentral:rRNA from 1 species
UGAAAAGCUCAUCGAAUAACGUAAUAGCUGGUUCUCUCCGAAAUGCAUUAGGGUGCAGCCCUAAAUCGAGAUCUCAUAGAGGUAGAGCUCUGAUAAGACUAGGGGUGUCGAGAGACAUUACCAAAUCUUGUUAAACUUCGAAUGCUAUGAGGAAUAUUUAGGAGUGAGACUGCGGGGGCAAGCUUCGUGGUCAAAAGGAUAACAGUCCAGACAUGUAAUUAAGGUCCCAAAAGUAUAGCUAAGUGGUAAAGGAGGUGUUCUUGCUUUGACAUCCAGGAGGUUUGCUUAGAAGCAGCAAUCCUUUAAAGAUAGCGUAACAGCUCACUGGACAAGCGAGGAUGCGCCGAAGAUGUAACGGGGCUAAGCUAUAUACCGAAAUUCAUGGCCUACACAUUAGUGUAGUGCGGUAGGAGAGUGUUCUAUCGGGAUGAAGCAUAACUGUGAGGUUAUGUGGACUAGAUAGAAGUAAAAAUGCUGACAUGAGUAACGACGCAAGGCGAAAAUCCUUGCUGCCGAAAACCUAAGAAUUCCUGCGCAACGUUCAUCGUCGCGGGGUUAGUCGAGACCUAAGGUGAUACCAGAAGUGGUACAUCGAUGGAUAACUGGUUAAUAUUCCAGUACUUGUAUAUUCAGUGAUGUGGUAACGCAUCGGGAUUUGUAAGAGCUCAUUAAGGAUUUGAGUCGAAAAAGUAAGGUUUUGAUUGUAGGAAAAUCCGCAGUCAUUANNCAACUCGUAUUCAGAUCAGACACUUGUAGGUUGGUAGAGAAUACCAAGGCAAUCGAGAUAACUAGUGGAUAAGGAACUUGGCAAAAUAGCGGACGUACUUUCGAAAUAAGUCCUACCCUGCAGCAAUGUAGGGUUGCAACAAAUGACAUGGGGGGAACUGUUUAUCACAAACACAGCUCGCUGCUAACACGUAAGUGGAUAUAUAGCGAGUGAUGCCUGUCCAAUGCCAGAAUGUUAUGCUCUCUUGUGCAAGCUCGAGGGUUAAGCACUGGUGAAUGACGGCCGUAACUAUGACGGUCCUAAGGUAGCGAAAUUCCUUGUCAGGUAAGUUCUGACGCGCAUGAAUGGCAUAAUCAUCCCCAUACUGUCUUGUCCUUAGACUCGGUGAAAUUACAAUCCUGGUAAAAAUGCCAGGUAGUUGCAGUUAGACGGAAAGACCCUGUGAAGCUUCACUAUAGAUUGAUAUUGGCAUGUAGUAUGUGCUGCUCAGUAUAAGUGGGAGGCGUUGAUGUUUNNUUGGGGAACAGUGUCAGUUUGGUAGUUUACCUGGGGCUGGUGCCUCCUAAAAAGUAACGGAGGCGUGCAAAGGUUUGCUUGUCACGGAUGGAAACCGUGGUGGACGUGCAUUCGCAUAAGCAAGCUUGACUGUGAGACUGACAGGUCGAACAGAUACGAAAGUAGGCGAAAGUGAUCCGGAUCUUCCAUAUGGAAGGGGAUCCGCUCAACGGAUAAAAGUUACUCCGGGGAUAACAGGCUAAUGGUAUCUAAGCGUUCAUAGCGACGAUACCGUUUGGCACCUCGAUGUCGACUCGUCGCAUCCUGGGGCUGUAGAAGGUCCCAAGGGUUGGGUUGUUCACCCAUUAAAGCGGGACGCGAGUUGGGUUCAGAACGUCGUGAGACAGUUCGGUCCCUAUCUACUGCAACCGUAAGAAAUUUGAGAGAUGCUGUCCCUAGUACGAGAGGACCGGGAUGGACAAGCCUCUGGUAGUACCAGUUGUUCCGCCUAGGAGCACGGCUGGAUAGCUACGCUUGGAAAAGGUAACCGCUGAAAGCAUCUAAGUGGGAAACUUGUCUCAAGAUUAGAUUUCUCUCCCCUUGUGGGAAUAAGACCUCCGCGAGACUAGCGGUUUGAUAGGCGUCAUGUGUAAGUAUAGCAAUGUAUUGAGCAGAGACGUACUAAUUGGUCGAAUGAGUUUUUCUU